rnacentral:rRNA from 1 species
GAUGAACGCUAGCUACAGGCUUAACACAUGCAAGUCGAGGGGCAGCAUGAAAGUAGCUUGCUACUUUUGAUGGCGACCGGCGCACGGGUGCGUAACGCGUAUCCAAUCUACCCAUGGCUCAGGGAUAGCCUUUCGAAAGAAAGAUUAAUACCUGAUGGUUUCGCUUUUCCGCAUGGUUUGGCGAAUAAAGAUUUAUCGGCGACGGAUGAGGAUGCGACUGAUUAGCUGGUUGGCGGGGUAACGGCCCACCAAGGCGACGAUCAGUAGGGGUUCUGAGAGGAAGGUCCCCCACAUUGGAACUGAGACACGGUCCAAACUCCUACGGGAGGCAGCAGUGAGGAAUAUUGGUCAAUGGACGAGAGUCUGACCAGCCAAGUAGCGUGAAGGAUGACGGCCCUAUGGGUUGUAAACUUCUUUUGUUUGGGAAUAAAGUGCUCUACGUGUAGAGUUUUGUAUGUACCUUACGAAUAAGCAUCGGCUAAUUCCGUGCCAGCAGCCGCGGUAAUAC